rnacentral:rRNA from 1 species
GACGAACGCUGGCGGCGUGCCUAAUACAUGCAAGUCGAACGCUUCUUUUUCCACCGGAGCUUGCUCCACCGGAAAAAGAGGAGUGGCGAACGGGUGAGUAACACGUGGGUAACCCACCCCGAUGACCGGGACAACCCGAGGAAACUCGGGCUAAUACCGGAUGUGCUCCUUGACCUUGAGGUCAAGGCGUAAAGAUAGCUUCGGCCUUCGCAUCGGGACGGGCCCGCGGCCCAUUAGCUUGUUGGUGGGGUAACGGCCUACCAAGGCGACGAUGGGUAGCUGGUCUGAGAGGACGAUCAGCCACACUGGGACUGAGACACGGCCCAGACUCCUACGGGAGGCAGCAGUGGGGAAUCUUGCGCAAUGCGCGAAAGCGUGACGCAGCAACGCCGCGUGGGGGAAGAAGGCCUUCGGGUUGUAAACCCCUUUCAGUUGGGACGAAGCUUCGCCGGUGAAUAGCCGGCUGGAGUGACGGUACCUUCACAAGAAGCCCCGGCUAACUACGUGCCAGCCGCCGCAGUAAAAC